AGAAUCAACGCGGGCGGCGUGCCUAACACAUGCAAGUCGAUCGAGAAAGUGGAGCAAUCCAUGAGUACAGUGGCGCACGGGUGAGUAACACGUGACUAACCUACCCUUGAGUGGGGAAUAAACCUGGAGAAAUCUAGGCUAAUACCGCAUAACACCUACGGGUCAAAGGAGCAAUUCGCUUAAGGAGGGGGUCGCGGCAGAUUAGCUAGUUGGCGGGGUAAUGGCCCACCAAGGCAGUGAUCUGUA
rnacentral:rRNA from 1 species